rnacentral:lncRNA from 1 species
AUCCAUUUAGGAUUUUAAAACAAUCUAUCACCUAUCUUUGACCAUAUGGACUAAAAUUGAUAUCCACCAAUAGACACUGAUGCCUGCAAGUCAACAGCAUAAAGAGUGGUAAAGUCAGUGCUGCAAAAGAUGAAAUGUUUUUAAUGUGGCUUUGAUAUCAGGAUGAUGCUGGCCUCAUAAAAUGAGUUUGGGAGGAUUCCCUCUUUUUCUAUCAACUGGAAUAGUUUCAGAAGGAAUGGUACCAGCUCCUCCUUGUACCUCUGGUAGAAUUCGGCCGUGAAUCCAUCUGGUCCUGGACUUUUUUUGGUUGCUCUGGAGGCUAACCAUCCAAGACCAAGAUGUCAGCAGGAUUGGUUCCUGAGGGCCUUGAGGAAGAAUCUGUUCCAGGACUUUCCCUUUGGCUUGCCAUUGGCCAUAUUCUCUCUGUGUCUUCUCACGUCUUCCCUCUGUAUUUGUUUCCAAAUUUCCUCUUCUUAUAAGGACAGUAGUCAUAUUGGAAAAAGGAACACCCUAAUAACCUAAUUUUAACUUGAUUACCUCUUUAAAGACCUUAUCUCCAAAUACCAUCACAUUCUGAACUAUUAAAGAUUAAUGCGUCAAUAUAUGAAUUUUGUGAGGGGCAGGGAGACAGAAUACAACCAACCCACAACACCCAGAUACAUAGCGAAAUCUUCUUCUUCUAGGCCCCCUGUGCCUGUGUCCACCACUUCAUCCCCCAAUUAGCUAUAUUUGAAAAAGUAAGAGGGAAAGAACAGUUGGAGGGGGAAGAGAGAGAGAAAGAAGACAGACAACUUAGAUUAUGUGCCCUAGAUGUUGGCCUUACAAAACGGGAGCAAAUCUUAACCAAUCAUUGUAGCAAAACCUUUUGUUUAUGAAGGAAGUUCCUUUUGUUUCUUUUCAGUCCACUCUACCUGCUAAUUAAAAUCAAUAAUAUGAGAUGCCGUGCUAUCUUUCCUACCUGAGCCACUUAUACUGUAUUGUCAGGUUUGGUUUAUUUCAUUUUCUGAGCUUAUUUGCCAGUUAAUCAUUUGUUUUUA